UACGUAGGGUGCAAGCGUUGUCCGGAAUUAUUGGGCGUAAAGAGCUCGUAGGCGGUUUGUCGCGUCGAAUGUGAAAACCCGGGGCUCAACCCCGGGCCUGCAUUCGAUACGGGCAGACUAGAGUUCGGUAGGGGAGUCUGGAAUUCCUGGUGUAGCGGUGAAAUGCGUAGAUAUCAAGAGGAGCACCUGCGGCGAAGGCGGGUUGCUGGGCCGACACUGACGCUGAGGCGCGAAAGCUAGGGGAGCGAACGGG
rnacentral:rRNA from 1 species